rnacentral:rRNA from 1 species
AUUGAACGCUAGCGGCAUGCCUAACACAUGCAAGUCGAACGAGUGGCGGACGGGUGAGUAAUAUCUGGGAAACUGCCCAAUGGAGGGGGAUAACUACUGGAAACGGUAGCUAAUACCGCAUACCCUCGGAGCGGCCCAGAUGGGAUUAGCUAGUAGGUGGGGUAAAGGCUCACCUAGGCGACGAUCCGUAGCUGGUCUGAGAGGAUGACCAGCCACACUGGAACUGAGACACGGCCCAGACUCCUACGGGAGGCAGCAGUGGGGAAUAUUGCACAAUGGGCGAAAGCCUGAUGCAGCCAUGCCGCGUGUAUGAAGAAGGCCUUCGGGUUGUAAAGUACUUUCAGCGGGGAGGCGGUACCCGCAGAAGAAGCACCGGCUAACUCCGUGCCAGCAGCCGCGGUAAUUC